ensembl:snRNA U1 U1 spliceosomal RNA
AUACUUACCUGGCAGGGGAGAUACCAUGAUCAAGAAGGUGGUUCACCCAGGGUGAGGCUCAGCCAUUGCACCCCGGUUAUGCUGACCCCUGUGAAUUCCCCAAAUGUGGGAAUCUCAACUGGAUAUUUUCUGGUAGUGGGGGACUGCAUUCACCCUCU